rnacentral:rRNA from 1 species
UACGGAGGGUGCAAGCGUUAUCCGGAUUCACUGGGUUUAAAGGGUGCGUAGGUGGGUUGGUAAGUCAGUGGUGAAAUCUCCGUGCUUAACAUGGAAACUGCCAUUGAUACUACUGGUCUUGAAUUUUCUGGAGGUAAGCGGAAUAUGUCAUGUAGCGGUGAAAUGCUUAGAUAUGACAUAGAACACCAAUUGCGAAGGCAGCUCACUAAGUCAUAACUGACGCUGAUGCACGAAAGCGUGGGGAGCAAACAGG